UACGAAGGGGGCUAGCGUUGCUCGGAAUCACUGGGCGUAAAGGGUGCGUAGGCGGGUCUUUAAGUCAGGGGUGAAAUCCUGGAGCUCAACUCCAGAACUGCCUUUGAUACUGAGGAUCUUGAGUUCGGGAGAGGUGAGUGGAACUGCGAGUGUAGAGGUGAAAUUCGUAGAUAUUCGCAAGAACACCAGUGGCGAAGGCGGCUCACUGGCCCGAGUACUGACGCUGAGGCACGAAAGCGUGGGAGCA
rnacentral:rRNA from 1 species